AGACCAAUCCACCAAAUGAGAAGGGAUGCAGGCAUCAUUUGACCCACAUGGCCUCAGCAACAGAGGAGGGCCUGCGAGCCAAGGGCUAUAUCUUCAUGUUAUGGCAGCUGAGCUCCCCCAGAGCAAGUGACCUAAGAGAGAAAGGAAGACUGGAGGUGCAGUGUCUUUCAUCUACUCUUGGAAGUCAUAUUCCAUCAUUUUGCCCCAUCAUAUUUGUUACAGAGGGAGAGAGAGAUCACAAGUAAGUGGAGCAGCAGGCAGAGAGAGAAGGGAGAAAGCUGGUUCCCUGACGAGUAGAAAGUAUGAUGCAGGGCUCGAUCCCAGGACCCUGAGAACGUGACCUGAGCUGAAGGCAGAGGCUUAACCCACUGAGCCACCCAGGCGCUCUGGCAAUGGCAUUCUAAGAAACAACAUUUCUUGAAGUAUGUCAUCAAAAAAAAUCUUUACGAGGAAAAUAUAAAGGACAUCUAUUUAAAAUGAUAUAUCUUUUCUGAUAUAUCUAGAAAUGCUUUUAUACCAAAGACAAGUGACCAAGUAUGACAUCCUUACACCACAACCCUUUGUCCAAAAUCAAGAACCUUGGCCCUACUUGGAUCUGGUUUUGCAGUACUAAAGAUAAUUCUGCAGCA